GACAGCACCCGUGACACCUGAUGUUACGGCGCCUUUGGGAAAGACGCCUGAAGUUACAGGACCAUUGGAAAAGACACCCAAAGAAACAGUGAAAGGGACACCUUCAACACUCAUACCUGUCUAUUCAGCAGUUCAAACUGACAGCAGUGUUGUUAUGCAGCUGUGUUCCUUCUGUAACAAACCUGUGCAAAGUGAUAAGAUCUCAGUGACCAUUCCUCCAAUCAUCUGCCAUGUGAACUGCUUCAAGUGUGCCAUGUGUGCUAAGCCGCUAGGUGACAUGAUGUCCUCCAUGUUCCACCACCGUGGGAAGAUACAUUGUAAGAAAUGCUUUGAUGUUGUGCUCAGCAUUCUGUAAAACCAUCGCCAUGGCAACAACACAGCAGUCAUCUGAUUGAUCUGUUUAUUAAUAAUAUAUUCUGUCUUUUAUUGUUUUAUUAGUAAAAUGAUACAGACAUGCAAGAGGUGUGUUUGUGUGUGUGUGUGUGAGUGUGUGUGUGUGUGUGUGAGAGAGAUGAACAGGAGAAAGACAGACAGGAAAUAAAGACAGAAUUGUUUGGA